AGGUGCCCGUACCGCAAACCGACACAGGUAGGUAGGAAGAAGAUUCUAAGGCCAACGGGAGAAGGGUUGUUAAGGAACUCGGCAAAUUGACCCCGUAACUUCGGGAGAAGGGGUGCUCCAGAGAUGGAGCCGCAGAGAAUCGGCCCAAGCAACUGUUUACCAAAAACACAGGUUUGUGCUAAAUCGAAAGAUGACGUAUACGAGCUGACGCCUGCCCGGUGCUGGAAGGUUAAGAGGAGAUGUGCAAGCAUUGAAUCGAAGCCCCAGUGAACGGCGGCCGUAACUAUAACGGUCCUAAGGUAGCGAAAUUCCUUGUCAGGUAAGUUCUGACCCGCAUGAAAGGCGUAAUGAUUUGGGCACUGUCUCAACAGCCCGCCCGGCGAAAUUGUAGUACCGGUGAAGAUGCCGGUUACCCGCGACAAGACGGAAAGACCCCAUGGAGCUUUACUGUAGCCUAAUAUUGGGUUUCGAUGUUGCAUGCACAGGAUAGAUGGGACACUGGGAAGCAGGUGCUUUGGCGCUUGUGGAGUGGCCGUUGGGAUACCAUCCUUGCGAUAUUGGAAUUCUAACCUGCGGCUCUGAAUCGAGUCGGGGGACAUUGUUAGGUGGGCAGUUUGACUGGGGCGGUCGCCUCCUAAAGAGUAACGGAGGCGUUCAAAGGUUCGCUCAGCUUGAACGGAAAUCAAGCAAAAGAGUGCAAACGCAGAAGCGAGCCUAACUGCGAGACUGACGGGUCGAGCAGUAACGAAAGUUGGAGUUAGUGAUCCGGUGGUAUGUGAGUGGAAAUGCCAUCGCUCAACGGAUAAAAGUUACCCUGGGGAUAACAGGCUGAUCUCCCCCAAGAGUCCACAUCGACGGGGAGGUUUGGCACCUCGAUGUCGGCUCAUCGCAUCCUGGGGCUGUAUUCGGUCCCAAGGGUUUGGCUGUUCGCCAAUUAAAGCGGUACGCGAGCUGGGUUCAGAACGUCGUGAGACAGUUCGGUCCCUAUCUGUCGUGGGCGCAGGAUAUUUGAUGGGAGCUGUCCCUAGUACGAGAGGACCGGGACGGACGUACCUCUGGCGCACCAGUUGUUCCGCCAGGAGCAUAGCUGGGCAACUACGUACGGAUCGGAUAAACGCUGAAAGCAUCUAAGCGUGAAGCCGACCCAAAGAUAAGAUAUCCCAUUGUUUCAAACAAGUAAGACCCCUUGAAGACUACAAGGUUGAUAGGCACGAUGUGUAAGUGGAGCGAUCCAUUCAGCAAGCGUGUACUAAUAGGUCGAGGGCUUGACCAC
rnacentral:rRNA from 1 species